rnacentral:rRNA from 1 species
AUUGAACGCUGGCGGCAGGCUUAACACAUGCAAGUCGAGCGGGGGGAGGUAGCUUGCUACCGGACCUAGCGGCGGACGGGUGAGUAAUGCUUAGGAAUCUGCCUAUUAGUGGGGGACAACAUCUCGAAAGGGAUGCUAAUACCGCAUACGUCCUACGGGAGAAAGCAGGGGAUCUUCGGACCUUGCGCUAAUAGAUGAGCCUAAGUCGGAUUAGCUAGUUGGUGGGUUAAAGGCCUACCAAGGCGACGAUCUGUAGCGGGUGUGAGAGGAUGAGCCGCCACGCUGGGACUGAGACACGGCCCAGACUGCUACGGGAGGCAGCAGUGGGGAAUAUUGGACAAUGGGGGGAACCCUGUUUCAGCCAUGCCGCGUGUGUGAAGAAGGCCGUAGGGUUGUAAAGCACGUUAAGCGAGGAGGAGGCUACUUUAGUUAAUACCUAGAGAUAGUGGACGUUACUCGCAGAAUAAGCACCGGCUAACUCUGUGCCAGCCGCCGCGGUAA